GGUCUCAACCGAGCUCUGCUUCCCAAAGCAAAAAUUGUAAUAUGCCAUUUUUUUCUCAUGGACGUUUCCCCUUUGCUGCUGCCAACGAAGUGACAGGAGAAAAUGCUGAGGUGCCGCCAAACUGCUCCUGCUGCCGGCCGAAGGGGGCUGGGUGGGCUUCCGGCGUCUUCUCGGAGCAGGAGUGGCGGCGUCUGCAGUAGCCUUGCGAGGGAGGCGAGUUGAACAGCGCCCAGCUGUGGGUGAAUGAGCGCCCAUCGGAGGCAAAGAGGGAGAGACCGAAGCGGCCGUUGGCACCGAUUCCCUGAAGACCCGGGAAGGAGAACGAGCUUUAGAAAUGAUGUGCGAAGUGAUGCCUACGAUAAAUGAGGACACCCCAAUGAGUCAAAGGGGGUCCCAGAGCAGUGGAUCGGACUCCGAUUCUCAUUUUGAACAGCUAAUGGUAAAUAUGCUGGAUGAAAGAGAUCGUCUUCUCGACACUCUUCGGGAGACACAAGAAAGUUUAUCUCUGGCACAGCAACGACUUCAAGAUGUAAUUUACGACAGAGAUUCUCUGCAACGACAACUGAAUUCUGCACUACCCCAGAUGACGGUUGCGGCUGGUACGAGCAUUGAGAAUAACAUUCAAAGGACCAUAUCCUGCCCUAAUGAAUUUGCUGCACUUACAAAAGAACUAAAUGCAUGCAGGGAACAACUACUGGAAAAAGAAGAAGAAAUUUCAGAAUUGAAAGCUGAAAGGAAUAAUACAAGACUGUUACUGGAACAUUUGGAGUGCCUUGUUUCAAGACAUGAAAGGUCACUGAGAAUGACAGUGGUGAAACGCCAAGCACAGUCUCCCUCAGGAGUUUCCAGUGAAGUUGAAGUUCUGAAAGCAUUGAAAUCUUUGUUUGAGCACCAUAAGGCUUUAGAUGAAAAGGUAAGGGAACGACUAAGGGUUUCCUUAGAAAGAGUCUCAGCGCUUGAAGAGGAACUAGCAGCUGCUAAUCAGGAGAUUAUAGCUUUGCGUGAACAAAAUGCACACAUUCAAAGAAAAAUUACAUCCGGAGAGGGUCCACCUGAUACAGAGCAUAUCAAAGGAAUGGAGCCUGGACAAAAAAUUCAUGAAAAGCGUCUGUCAAAUGGCUCUAUAGACUCAAAUGAUGAGACUGCUCAGUUGGUAGAACUGCAAGAACUUCUCGAAAAGCAAAAUUAUGAAAUGGCACAGAUGAAGGAUCGCUUGGCUGCACUGUCUUCCAGAGUUGGAGAGGUGGAGCAAGAUGCAGAAACUGCUAGGAAGGACCUCAUUAAAACUGAAGAACUGAACAGCAAAUAUCAGAGAGAUAUUAGAGAGGCUAUGGCCCAGAAAGAAGAUAUGGAAGAAAGAAUAACUACCCUGGAGAAACGUUACCUAAGUGCACAGAGGGAAUCUACUUCCAUACAUGACAUGAAUGACAAAUUGGAAAAUGAACUGGCAAACAAAGAAGCCAUCCUACGUCAGAUGGAGGAAAAAAACAGGCAGCUGCAAGAACGUCUCGAGCUAGCUGAGCAAAAGCUACAACAAACAAUGAGAAAAGCUGAGACUUUACCAGAAGUGGAGGCAGAAUUGGCCCAGAGAAUUGCAGCACUGACUAAGUCUGAUCCAACCUCUUCUACCUCAUCUGAUGAUUAUCAAUAUGUUAUGGAAGCUAAACUACAAGAAAUGAUCUCCAUACGUAGGAAGGCAGAAGAAAGACAUGGCAAUAUUGAAGAACGCAUGCGGCACCUAGAGGCUCAGUUGGAAGAGAAGAAUCAAGAACUUCAAAGGGCAAGACAAAGAGAAAAAAUGAAUGAAGAGCACAACAAAAGAUUGUCUGAUACAGUGGACAGACUUUUGACAGAAUCUAAUGAACGUUUGCAACUGCAUUUGAAAGAGAGAAUGGCAGCUUUGGAAGAGAAGAAUGUUUUAAUAGAAGAAUCAGAAAACUUCAGAAAGAAUUUGGAAGAAUCUCUGCAUGAUAAGGAAAGAUUAGCAGAAGAGAUAGACAAGCUGAGAGCUGAACUUGACCAGUUGAAAAUACGAGCAGGGUCUUUAAUGGAGCCCACAUUGUCAAGAACACAUCUUGACUCAUCAGCAGAACUGAGGUACUCUGUGGGCUCACUAGUUGAUAGUCAACCAGAUUAUAGGUCUACUAAAGUGAUAAGAAGACCUAGAAGAGGUCGUAUGGGAAUCCGAAGAGAUGAACCAAAGGUAAAAUCCUUUGGAGAUCACGAGUGGAAUAGAAACCAGCCAGUUGGAAUUCUAAGCAGCCAUCAUUUUGAGAGUGACACUGAAAUGUCUGAUAUAGAUGAUGAUGAUAGAGAUACAAUUUUCAGUUCAAUGGAUCUUUUGUCACCAAGUGGACAUUCAGAUGCUCAGACCCUUGCUAUGAUGCUUCAGGAACAACUAGAUGCAAUCAAUAAAGAAAUCAGGUUAAUCCAGGAAGAAAAAGAAUCCACAGAACUGCGUGCUGAAGAAAUAGAAAACAGAGUUGCUAGUGUGAGUCUAGAAGGCUUAAAUCUGGCCAGGGUUCAUCCUGGAACAUCUAUUACUGGCUCAAUAACUGCAUCUUCAUUAGCAAGCUCCUCUCCUCCCAGUGGCCACUCAACUCCUAAACUCACUCCACGCAGCCCAGCUAGGGAGAUGGACCGGAUGGGGAUCAUGACACUGCCAAGUGAUCUCAGGAAACAUCGAAGAAAGAUUGCAAUAGUUGAAGAAGAUGGACAUGAAGACAAGGCCACAAUAAAAUGUGAAACCUCUCCUCCACCAACCCCUAGAGCCAUUAGAAUGACUCACACUCUACCUUCUUCAUACCACAAUGAUGCCAGAAGUAGUUUGACUGCAUCCUUGGAACCAGAAAGUAUUGGCUUUGGCAGUGUCAAUAGCAGCCAGGAUUCCUUGCACAAAGCUCCCAAGAAGAAAGGAAUAAAGUCUUCAAUUGGGCGCUUGUUUGGUAAAAAAGAGAAGGCACGACUUGGACAGCUAAGAGGCUAUAUGGAAACCGACGCUGCAGCACAGGAAUCUCUGGGAUUAAGCAAACUUGGAACCCAGGCAGAAAAAGACCGAAGACUAAAGAAAAACACAUCAGGGCAUGAACUUCUGGAGGAAGCUCGGAGGAAGGGAUUACCCUUUGCACAGUGGGAUGGGCCAACAGUAGUUGCCUGGCUAGAGCUGUGGCUGGGAAUGCCUGCAUGGUAUGUUGCUGCUUGCCGUGCAAAUGUGAAAAGUGGUGCCAUCAUGUCUGCACUGUCAGAUACUGAAAUUCAGAGAGAAAUUGGAAUCAGCAAUCCUCUCCAUCGCCUGAAGCUCCGUCUGGCAAUUCAAGAGAUGGUGUCACUCACAAGCCCAUCAGCCCCUCCAACUUCUAGAACGCCCUCAGGCAACGUCUGGGUAACCCAUGAAGAAAUGGAAAACCUUGCAGCUCCAACCAAAACGAAGGACAGUGAGGAAGGCAGCUGGGCUCAGACCCUGGCUUAUGGUGAUAUGAACCAUGAAUGGAUUGGUAAUGAAUGGCUUCCCAGUCUAGGGUUACCACAGUACCGAAGUUACUUCAUGGAAUGUUUGGUGGAUGCAAGGAUGUUAGAUCAUCUAACAAAAAAAGAUCUCCGUGUACAUUUAAAAAUGGUGGAUAGUUUUCAUCGAACAAGUCUGCAAUAUGGAAUCAUGUGUUUAAAGAAACUGAAUUAUGAUAGAAAAGAAUUAGAAAGGAGAAGGGAAGCAAGUCAGCAUGAAAUAAAAGAUGUGUUGGCGUGGAGCAAUGACAGAGUUAUACGCUGGAUACAAGCAAUUGGAUUACGAGAUUAUGCAAACAAUGUGUUAGAAAGUGGUGUGCAUGGGUCACUCAUAGCCUUAGAUGAUAACUUUGAUUAUAGCAGUUUAGCCUUAUUGUUGCAGAUUCCAACACAGAAUACCCAGGCACGGCAGAUUCUCGAGAGGGAAUACAACAAUUUAUUGGCACUAGGAACAGAUAGACGCCUUGAUGAAAGCGAUGACAAGAAUUUUAGGCGUGGCUCUUCCUGGCGAAGACAAUUUCCUCCACGUGAAGUUCAUGGAAUCAGCAUGAUGCCUGGCUCUUCAGAAACACUGCCAGCUGGAUUUAGGUUAACUACAACAUCAGGACAGUCACGAAAAAUGGCAACUGAUGUUGCUUCAGCUCGGUUGCAGAGGUUAGACAGUUCUACAGUUCGCACAUAUUCCUGUUGACAUAUCUAGCAUGAAAAAGAGCUCCGAACUGAAGAUAUGUUGAACAUAUGACAGCCAAGGGAGAAAAUAUAAAUCACAGAUUUUUUAUAAAAAUAAUCACUUCUGAAAAUAUGCCACCUCUUCUAUUUUACCUGAAGUGCACUACCACCAUCUUAAGAAGCUUUUUAUUCCAAGUACAGGGUAAUAGGGAAGAAAAUAUAAAUGUUUAUCAAACUAAAAUGUGUGGUGAUCUUUUUACAUAUUUAGUUGUAAUGUGCAACCUACCAAAUACUACUGUCGCACAAUUUUUUAAUCCUUUCUGUGGAGUUGACACGAAAGUUGGUCACAAUCUCCACUGAAAUGAUUGAAUAGUGUGUAGCAACAAUAUUGUCCAGAUUGCACAUCUGAUGUAUUUUAAUUAAUAAUUACUAAUUUUUAAAAGUACACAUCCUGACAAAUUUGGCCAAUGUGCAGAAAUAAUGCUUUUAUCAAAAGAGGACCUUCAUUUUGAAACAUGUUCCAUCUGUUUUAUUGUAAUAUAUUAGAAUUACAUGUAUUUAUGGUGAAUUUCUUUUAAUAUGUGUCUCAUGUAAAUGGAUAUAAAUAUCAUUUUUAAAAAAAUAUGUGGUACAUGGGGUCUUAGUGAAAACACUUGACAAAUACAUUGUCAGGGGUAAUAUUUGUAUCUUUUCAUUCCACUAUUUUUUACAAUUUUGAAUUGUAGCAAAGUCAAUUGGAUAUUGGAUAGCAAAAAGUUGUUAGAUACUUCAUCAUGUUCCUACUUUUUAAAAUGUAUAUAUACCACUAUUUAAAGUGAAUUCUUGCCUCUAAUGAUCAAGAGGGAAAAGAUUUAAACAUGAAACUUAAGCCAAAAAUGAACCUCUAAAGGCAAAACAGAACUCUCAUACACAUAUACAAACAUUCACACAGAAAUGCAUACAAAAUUAUAGAAAAGCACUGUGACUGCUCUUUUUUCUAAAACAAACAUGAAGAAAAACUGCAAAAAUCAGAACCAAUUACAGAAAGCAAGAGACAUUUUCCUCAAUGGCUACCAAGAAGCAAUUAUCAAGAAGCAGCUAGCUUUGCUAGUAUUUUUUUUUCUCAAAAUUUUUCACAUGCUAGCUAAAAUUGGCCUUAAACAAAAUGAGAUGAAAAUAAAUCUGAUUUUCAACAUUUCAGUUGUAUAACAAUACCCUCCAUGUCUUCAUUAUAAUAGGGUAUUGGAACAGCUGCUUGUCUAAUGUUAGGCUUUCAUUCAAAAGUGGCCUUGCUGAGACUUCACUGAAGUCAACUUUAUCAGAGGAAAUAACUAAAACACAAAACAGUUAUUAUAUACUGUAUAGAAGUUUAGAGGAGAAACUAUUACCUGCUGUGGUUUUAUUUAAUGGUGUUAUUGAUGUUUGCCCUUUGUUAUAUUGGAAGUUUCAAAGUAAGAAAUAUUUAAUAAUGUAAUUUACCUACUCUAUUUGCUAAUAAUCUUGCUGCCUGAUUGAUCUUAUUGUAGCUUAAGUCCUGUCCUUCAGCAGGCUUAUCUGCAAAACAUCUGCACGUGCAUUUUUUUUACUGCAUUUUAAAAAUUUUAAACAGAUUUCAGUUAAUUAAAUGGUGAUCAAUUUUUUUCCUCUCCCCUUGUCAAUAAAAUAAAAUCAGUGCU